GUCAGAGUAGAUAAUUUAGCUGUCUCUUCUGGCCUUAAACAUGAGGAAACUCAAAGGAAAAAAUCAGAGUCUGCAGAGGUUAUAGGUAAGAAAAAGGCAUAACAGGCUGGAGUGUCCUUUAAUGCCCUGAGGUUCAGCAUUCCUUAGCACAUCAAGCAGACCGGGGUGCAGCCACAGAUGGAGUGGCCCUGCCAGUCCAUUCACAAGUACAGUAGGAAGGAAGAACAGCUUGCCAGUAAAAUUCAGGUUUAAAUUGAUCCCUUUAUUCUCCUCUAGAAGAGUUCUCUUUUCACUCGCUCGUAUCACUGCAUUUUCCCACUAAGGUUGUCUCACUUAUUUAACUUGACACAGGGAGCCCCCUCUGAGGUCUUUGAGAUUCCAGCCAGCAUUGGAAGUGACAGCCCAGAUAAGGCAGAAAGAUUUGAAUUAUCCUGCUACUUGCCAAGAGGAGAAAAACAGCAUAAGACCACUGGUUAAUGGGCAUGCUUUGGAUUCACACUGGAACCUGGAAGCAAAAUUGUCCCCUGUGGACGUAGAGGUAUCAAGAUAACUCCCCUCAGAUGGGUUUCUCAUCUCACCUUUCUGGAAUACCUGUGGUGUCACCUCUUUGUCCUGUAACAACUUUACGGUAAAGACUGAGUAGACCUUGGGCAUUCUGAAACCAGGUACCUUGUUCAGCUGUCUCAGAUCAAGUUUUAUCAGAAGACAUUUAUGCAGAAUUGCUGAGAGUAGCUCGCAGGUAAAGCCUAACCUCGAACUUCCCAUCUCCUUAGC
rnacentral:lncRNA from 1 species